rnacentral:rRNA from 1 species
AUUGAACGCUGGCGGCAGGCCUAACACAUGCAAGUCGAGCGAGCGGCGGACGGGUGAGUAAUGUAUGGGGAUCUGCCUGAUGGAGGGGGAUAACUACUGGAAACGGUAGCUAAUACCGCAUACCAUCAGAUGAACCCAUAUGGGAUUCGCGUGUAGGUGAGGGAACGGCUCACCUGGGAGACGAUCCCUAGCUGGUCUGAGAGGGUGAUCGGCCCCACUGGAACUGAGACACGGCCCAGACUCCUACGGGAGGCAGCAGUGGGGAAUAUUGCACAAUGGGCGCAAGCCUGAUGCAGCCAUGCCGCGUGUAUGAAGAAGGCCUUCGGGUUGUAAAGUACUUUCAGUCGGGAGGCGUUACCGACAGAAGAAGCACCGGCUAACUCCGUGCCAGCAGCCGCGGUAAUAC